GUCCUGGCCGUAAACGAUGUCCACUAGGUUGAGGUUCUUUUGACGGAUCCUCGGCCGAAGCAAAACGUUAAGUGGACCGCCUGGGGAGUACGGUCGCAAGGCUAAAACUCAAAGUAAUUGACUGGGGCUCACACAAGCGGUGGAGCAUGUUGCUCAAUUCGAUGCAACGCGAAGAACCUUAUCCUGGGCUUGACAUGUACGAAUACCUUACCUGAAAGGGAUAAGGUUGCCCUUCGGGUGAAGCGUACACAGGUGCUGCAUGGCUGUCGU
rnacentral:rRNA from 1 species